GUCCCCAAAGUUUUGAAACUUGGAAACAAAAUUGUAAACUGUUUAUAAAACUUCUAUAACUAUCAGAGGGAAGAGGAACCUAAGAAGACAUGACAAUUAAAUGUAAUAACAACCACUAAAAGGUUCAAAUAGAUGUGGCAAGUGAAGUCAGCAGCAAAUGGUGGAAUAGGAGUCUUUUAACAUCCUCCUUCCUCAGAAGCAGCAAUUUUGACAACUACCCAAGGACAAAAGUACUCUGUGGGAGUCCUGGAGUCCAGCAGGGAAAUUCCAGCACACCAUUGGAGAAAAAAAAUCUGAGAAUAGAUACAUUGAAGAAGGAAAGAAGAUACUUUAACUUUACCAGUGUAAUCUCUCUCCCAAGGUGACAUAGUUCAGUGCCAAGAGAAACCCCCUUGGCCUACAAUGUCUCCCUUGGACAAAAGUGAAAGCAUAGUGAUUGAGUACCCAGCUCUCCAAGUCAGGCAGGAUGCUGUCCAAAAGGCCCGCUUCUUUACUGCCUCACCCAGAUUACUGAGGUGAUUGGAACAGCUGAGAGUUUGGAAGACGUUGGAAGCAGGGAAGAGGGGCCCAUAUCCUACUAACUGCUCCCCAGAUUCCAUCAGGAAGACCACCAUGAGCUAUUUGUGAUCCCUCUCCUGUGCAUCUCCAAAUGGCCCACAGGCACCCCAAACACUCCACAUGCCUCACCCUUCCUCCCCCAGCUGGCUCCCCAAAUACACCUGUGUGGACAGCAAGUGCAAGUGUCUCAUGCAGAUAGCCAGCUCUGCACUACAAAAUUGGAGGAAGGCACACAAACUUAAGCAUUUCAGCAUUUGUUUAGGCUCUCAGCACCUAGCCUGGCAUCCCAAGAUCAAGAGAAGGUAUACAAUCUUAAGAAUUCUUCCCCAGAGAGAACAAGAGGUGAGGAGUAGAUGAAUCCAUAGAAAAGUCUGAGAAAUUCUCAGAAUCCAUAGAUGGGCUGACUGGUGAAGGCAAUCCUUUCUGGAAGCUAGUCAGUAAAGACUGAAGCAGGUGACUACUUCUUCAAAUAUGAAGACAAAACUUCAAGGAAACACACCACCAC
rnacentral:lncRNA from 1 species